UUAUGGGAAAAAUUGUCUCUUCCUUAUUUCUAUGUGUCUUCCUUACUUCUAUGCAGUUAUUAUAUGAUUUAUGACUUAUGUUCUGCAAUUAAUAUCUUAUGUUUUGUCUUACUGUAUGCAUUUGACAUUUCACCUAGAUUGUUCAAUGGUUGUCUCUGCCUGAUAGACUCUCAACUCUAGCUCCCAAACCCAAGGUCGGGGAGUUGUGUCUCUGUCUGUUGAGACUUGGUGCUCCUUUCUCACAGAUAGUUGGACGUCAGCGAUGCAGGUGUGAGAAUGUAAAUAUCUUCACACACACUGCGACAGGGAGGAGAUGGUGCAUGUAAUUUGAUUGGGUUAGAAAGACAUUCCACCCUAGUCGGACAGAGAAGCUAAAAGGCAGAAGCAACUUGAGGAUCGUGGGCUCUUUGCAUCACACCUUCGUGGUGUGUGCACUGAUCUCCCCAGCUGGUUUUUGGUUUGUUGAUGUGCACGAUCAACAUCCAUGCUUUUUAUUUGCUUUCCCCAUUAUUUUUAUUUUCUUUAUUAUUUCAAUAAAUCGCACAAAAGGACAACUCUCUCAUCUGCUUCUUUAUGGAAAAUUUCCACCACAGAAAUUGGCGUCACGAACAGGAUCCCGCAGCAGGUCGUCUGGACGGUGUGACCAGGGACGAUAGUCCUGAGGACUAGGUUCGCUCAGCCUCCGAACCUCUACAGCUGUUCUGAGUGGGAGGACUGCUCACCCGUCUGGAUCGCCUCUGACGAGAUCCAACGAACACAAAAUGCAACCUCUACUCGGCCCGAACCGAGCGCGAUGAGGGUAAAUCCGGAUCUGGACUCCUUUCCCACCAUCAGCAGAAGAACCGAAGGAGAAGAAGCGCCAACCAACAACCAGAACAGGGUGGAAGCUCUGACACCACAGCAGCUGGAGGACACAGACCACAGCAUGGACGCCUCAGCGACUCUCACAACGCCUGCAGCCAUCACGUUCUGGGCUCAUCAGAUGAACCAGCUACUACAAGCGUGUGUGUCUGACACAGACACCUGCUUAUGACAAUCAGCAAAGGAAAACAAGGACAGAGCAACAGCAGAGAAGACGUGCUCUAACAGAGACACUGGUUGAAACAACAGGAGAGGCUUCAGACGUGAUCGGCCCAAAAGAGCUGCAUCUGAGGAUCCAGGAAAGGUCUGUCAUCGAGGAACAACUGUCCCAUCGAAAGGCUUCACCCACUGGCGCUCACAUCAGACUGAUGGUUGGGGAAGGAGGAAGGUGACGGUUCCUUUUCACGUGACGUACAAGACGGUACCGCAAACAUACACACACAUUCAUACACGCAAUGAAGAAACACGCUUACAGCUGAUACACGCUCAAAUUCAUGUUCAUGCUUAUCUGCUCGCAAUGAAGAAUCGCUUUUUGCUUAAAAAAAUCCCACAGAGUGAUUUUACAAUGAUGACAAACAGCUAAAUGACAACUGCUGCAUGACUUUACAGUCUGAUGGGUUCAAACUAUUUUAACUUGCAACAAAUUCAGUAAUAAAAUCCUCUAUGUUUCUAAAAGGGUUUGUGCACAAUAUAGGUUUGUCUGGCCAGACUAGAAGACUAUAGAAAAACAAAAUCAGACUAUAGAAAAACAAAACAGACUGUAAAAAAAAAACAAAACAGACUGUAGAAAAAACAAAAAAACAGACUAUAGGAAGACUGAAACUGACCGAGACUGACUGAAACAGACUAUUAAUGACUAUUAAAGGGAAGACGACUAUUAGAGAGAAGUAAUAAUAAUGACUGUACGUACCAGACUAUUAAAGAAAACUUAUUUUUUCACUGUCUUAUGCAACAUCUGACAGCGAGACACCUUGAGAUUUAUUGUUGCUUUCAAAUUUAUGCCCAGUUAAUUUUUAGGAAGAGGUCUUGUGUAGUUUAGGUAUUUGAUUGGUUUCCACUCCAGACGGAGUGCAGGUUACAUCUACAGACAUUCUAAAUAAUCCCUCUUUUGUUGGUGUUAACUUCAGCUCAGCUGUGCUCUUAUCAUUGGCUGCUGAGGGGGGGCUGUAACUGAGGCCCUCACACAGGCUGCAUCACAGCUUGUUUAUGAUUUCACACACACACUCAAACUGACCUCAACUUUCCUCUUUUGGGAUGAACACAGGUCUGCGCUUGCGAUUUCUUUUACUAACGAACAAAAAGAUUUUUGAUGUUUAUUUUACAGCUCCACACGUCCCUCUGUGAAAACAUGAUGGAGACAGAUGCAGGACGUGGGUCCUUUCAUGAACAGAUGUCAACGGGGUGGAGACUGGUGAACGACUUCCGACCCCAUGUGACGUAUUCACCUACUUUACAUACUUUUAGAAAACUUCUUUUUAUUUUGCCCGUCAUGUGCAGCAAACAGUGAACUUGGUACCUCCGUAUGCUAAUGACACUACAUGCUUUUGUUUUUAUUUUCAUUUUUCAGAGGACGCUCUGACCCAACACUCAGCCUUACAGGAAGCCCUGCUUCCCUGUGGCUCUCACACAGACAUGAUGUAGGUUCGAUCAGAGGAUGUGAACUAGUGGUCAUCACACCUAAAUCUGACCACAGACCAUGUAAACAACAACACCCUCUUAAAGGAGCCAUAGAUGGUGUUACUGCAGACACCACUAAGCUACUGAAUCAUUGGAUGCUACAGGCCACAAAGAGAGCCUGUUUAAAUUACGCUUUGUUCAGACAAAGGUUAUUUUUCUGGGUCAUUGUAAUUACAGCUGAUGGCAAAUCCAUCUCACCCAACUGAGUUAAAGCAAUUUGAAACCUGCCUAAACCGUGCACGUAUAAACAGCUGAUGUCUUUUCUAGGUCUUUGUUCUUAUUGUAGGAACUUCAGUCCUAACUUUACUGUCUUUGAGGCCCCACUCAGGGUUCUGAUGCAGACGUCUUCAUCGUCCACUUCUUGUCUCACGUGGACGUCUGAGGCUGAACAACGUUCACUGACCUCAUGCUUGCUCUUCAGACUCCUACCUUGGGUCUUCCUGAUCUGACCCUACGCGACCUUUCACUCAAACAGUGGAUGAGAAAUCAGGUUGUACGACUUCUGUUCUUUUGUCCUCAUACUGUCUUUGAUUCUUUUGGAAUAGAUCACAUCUUUCUACAGCCAGAUGGCUUAGAUACAACACCACCUUGCUCAACAUGCUGAAAAUUACUAUCAAGAGUCCGUCGUGAAGUCUGGCGCUUUGCAAAGACACUGCUCUGCUCAGGCUGCAGAGUUGAUCGUAUUGACUGAAGCUAGUAAACUAGCAGAAGGAGAGACUGUUACCAUCUACAGACUCCACAGAUGCUUGUCACACGUUGGUUCUCCUUGGAAGCAUGGGAAGCUUUGAAGUCUGAUUGCAAACCUAUCUUACAUCAUGAUAAGGUUCUGCUUUGCUGGACGCUGUCCUGCUGCCUACAGCUAAUGCUGUUUGUAACUGUCCAACAUCAGUGACGACUUUGUUUCUGCCGACAUGCAGCUGCAGACGCUGCUGCGAAGGUCGCUGCCCAACAACCCCUCCCUCUCCUGAUCCUCGUUUCCUCUCCUGAUCCUUGUUCCCUCUCCAACUCUCUCUAUCCUUUCCUUCCUAUCUCCCUGUGCUUUAAACAUUUUCUACCUCGCAGGAACGCAGACUCUGGCUGACGAAUGGUUCCACCUGUAGCCAUGGAGUCUGGUUUGGGCCUGAUGGCAGCCGUGCCGCCAAAACACCUUUUCCCCAUAAUUCAGAUUUCCCAACAGGUAAAAACAGGCGACAGGACCAUUACACACCAUCCAACCAGGAGACUGGGCGAUCGUUAAGGAGUUCAGGAGGAAACACUGGAACUUCAAACGGUGGCGAGGCCCCUUCCACGUCCUUCUGACGACCAACACGACUGUGAAGAUCGCAGAAAGAGCGACUUGGAUCAACUCCAUCCAGGAAGGUCCCGGAUCCGACAGACGACCCUCCAUCUACACCACACGAGAAAACCACCACUGACGAAAAGAAUUAAGAAGGACGACCCUCGCUGUGCUCACACACGCACUGAGGCGAGGCUGCGUUGACCGUUCAGCUAAAGGUGUGAGCCAAGCGCCGCCUGAAGCUGCGCCGGUGAAUCACACUAUCAGACCAACAUCUACACACACGCUCCUGAGAAAACACACACACGAGCAGCCUGGAGUUGCCAACGCUGGACGACGUGUAGACUCUUCACAUCACGGGAGUGACAGUGACUCAGACGACAUUGGGAGGAAACCUGGCGGUGAUAACAAAUCCCAAGUGUCUCUGUGAUCAGCUGAUCACAACCGAAGAACCCCAACGAACUGUCAAUACUUCAACACACAGGUUGGAAACAAUCUAACGCUACUGUUCAAUAAGAAGAAGCAGAUUGUUACAGACAUCAAUUGUAACCUUGUUGCGUUAGACAUUUUAUGUUACUCUGAUUAUUGCCUUGAUCAUAUGAUGUUUUCAUGUAACUUUGCACACUACUUUUGAAUGAGAAAAUUUCACAUAAUUCACAACACUGAGUUUAAAUAUCCUAAAGUUGACUUGGUGUUUAAUUUGCUCACAAUCACUUUAUUCACUGCUACAAUUAGUUUUAUCCUUCAUCUACAGAUGAAAGACAACACAAGCGGAAAAACGCAUCAUCAUUCUGGUUAAAUCCCUGAAUCUCCUAUUCGCUCUAGACGCAAAUGUACAAUUAAAGAUCCGAAAGCAUUAAAUCUAUCUUAAGAAUGUAAUUUGAACCCCACCGGAAACCUAUGGCUAUCAUACAUUAAUUGUCUUUAUUACAUUACAAUUGAAUGGCCGUAGACACGUUGUUAGCAGAGAAAAGAGGCGUUUGUGUUAUGUUUGGAGACGCAUGUUGUACUUACAUCCUGAAUAACACUGAUUCUAAUGGUAUUGUGGCGAAGGCGCUCCACGGCCUUCAGAAUCUCAGCUAACUCUGGUAUAGGUUCUUUCCCUUGGAAUUGGCUAGACGAAAUGUCUGGAAAAUGGAAAUCUGUCCUCAUGUCCACAGCUGUUUCCUUUAUAAUUGAGAUGGCUGUGAUUCUCUUGUUUGGUUUUUGCGUUAUCCCACUGGUUAGAGGUCUCAUCAUGCGUGCGACCUCAGCAACACUCUCGUAUCAAAUGACACAAUGAACUAUGUUCAAAAACCCCAACUCUAAUUCACGUAAUGACUUUGACGAUGGCUAUCUGAUCACAAAAUAUAAUCUGGUACAAAUAUGA